CACCGGUUAAACUCUGCUAUUAUGCCUCUUACUGGGCAUGCUCGAGCCCACGGGCCCAACUCCUGAGAUCCCAUCUGGAAGCUGCUGAUCACCAGUUUCAAGUGUUUCUGUUUAUUGGGAGACUGCCUUCCUCUGGCACUGGCAGUGACCAAUUAUUAUUUUAGAGAGAUUGUUAACUGCCUGCUCAUCACCUGAUGAAUAUCAGGAAUGUGGCCUGACAUUCCUGGUACACGGAGCGCCUUCUUUUCGUUUAGAGCAUUGGUGGCUCCACAUUAGAAGCAUCCUAUGUAGCUGUUCUGGCUGCAGCUGCCCAAGUCUGCCUGGGCCUCCUGCAUGAGGUCACGAGUCUUAAUAAAGCCACUGACCCACACAUUUGGAAUCGUACUGACUUUUCACAACUAACAGCCAACACAUUGCCAAGAAGCAAUUCAAUUGUUGAGGAUAUCACAUCAUGCCAGGGAAAGAGAGAUGGAAUUCAGAAAGCCUGGGAUAUUGCAGGCCUGAGACCGGCCCCCAUUGUGACUCCUGAGGUCUCUCAGCUGUCCCUCAACCUCCAGGAGAAUUGCUCUCCACUCCAGAAGCCGCCUGAUGGGGAGGCUGACCCCUCUCCAGGAAUGACUGAUCCAGGUUUAUCCUGACAGUAACCUCUCCCCAGGUCGGAAGACCUCUCAGGCUCUGUUUCUAGGGAGGCUGACCUGCUGACAAUGCUCCUAGCUGGAUUUUGUAAGUGGUCUUGAAUAAAGUCUUCCUUACUGUUUUAACAAGAGACAGGGUAAUGUUCAUUGAAUAUCUUAUACAAAGAGGAAAUCUGGCACAGAAGUGGACACGCACUCGGAGGGAAAAUGCCAAGUGACAAUGAAGGCAGAGAUCAGGUGAUGCAUCUGCAAGCUGAGCAACAUCAGGAAUUGCCAAAAACCACCAGGAGCUGGAGAGGCCUGGGACAGAGCCUCCCAUGGAGCCUCAAGGGAGCCAGCCCUGCCCAUGGAGAGGCCUGGGACGGAGCCUCCCACGGAGCCUCAAGGGAGCCAGCCCUGCCCACGCCUUGAUCUUUGACGUCCGACCUCAAGAACUAUGAGAGAACCCAUUUCUGUUGGUGAAGACUCCCCGUCUGUGGUCCCCUAUCCUGGCAGCCCUGGGAAGCUGACCUCUGGUCCCUCUGCAUCCCUGGCAUCACUCUGCCUCCCCCUCUUUUUCUCCAGUGAAUCCGACACACUCUCAGUGAGACAGCCAGGUGGCAAGGGGUCCUCGGAGAAACUCCAGCCGGCCUGCUCACUGGGCAUGUACACUGGAGUAGAGCCACAGAAGUUCAUGGUGUUUGCAGCAGGGAGGAGCCUGGCCACUCCUCUUCCUGGUUGGAACCUGGGAUUUAUUUUGUGAGGCGGGAAGCCUAUACUGGGGAGACUCUUGUUCUGCUGAGUCACCAUUCCCCCUUUAUUUUCCUUUUUGCCCAAUAAAUCCUAUUAUUCUCAGUCUUCAAA
rnacentral:lncRNA from 1 species